UACGGAGGGUGCAAGCGUUAUCCGGAUUCACUGGGUUUAAAGGGUGCGUAAGAGGGCAGGUAAGUCAGUGGUGAAAUCUCCAAGCUUAACUUGGAACUGCCGUUGAUACUAUCUGUCUUGAAUACCGUGGAGGUGAGCGGAAUAUGUCAUGUAGCGGUGAAAUGCUUAGAUAUGAACAUAGAACACCAAUUGCGAAGGCAGCUCGCUACACGAAUAUUGACUCUGAGGCACGAAAGCGUGGGGAUCAAACAGGA
rnacentral:rRNA from 1 species